rnacentral:lncRNA from 1 species
CCUGUUUGCAGAAGCCGCUUGAGCCUUUCUCAACAAAAGGAUGGCGGAAGUGAGAGAGUGACGUGAGAGGCAGGGAAGAGGAAGAAGGAAGAGCAGAUGACUUAAACUGCAGGCACUGUCUGUCUUUACUUCGAUAAAACGCACAGCUCAAAAGAGAUUGUGCUAACUAAUAGAUUUAUAGUUUGUUUUGUUUUGUUUUGUGUUUUGUUGUGAGACAGGGUCUUACUAUGUAGUUCAGGUUGGCUUUGAACUCACUCUGUAGUCUAGGCUGGCCUUGAACCCACGGUGUUCCUCCUGCCUCAGUUUCCUGCAUGCUGGGAUUGAUUACAGUUGUGUGCCAUUGCCCCCAUCUUUUUUCUCUUGUGUUUGUUUGUUUGCAGGUUCACACCAUGGGAAGAAAUAGGAUAUUUUGAGGACCAGACCUACAAAUCACUUCCGCCCAAGUCGCACUGGCCAAAGCUGGGUCGCGUAGCUCUCCUCUACUUGCACAACUGGCUGCAAAAUGUAGAGGACGGAUGUUUGUCAAACAGUGACAAUCUCGAUCACUUUCCUCGUCCAAAAUGCCUUCUCCUCCCCGAAAGCCACCUUCUAGACCAGCUCUGCUGUCCCCUUACGAGCACAUACAUCACGGGACCUGUCAUGGGUUUCUGUGGGACCAGUUGACACAGCUCAGAGCAGCAGCUGCUGGAUGGCUUUGGGGAGCCUGGCUCAAGAAACAGUUGCUGGGGUACGGGGACCACAAGCAUCCUGCCAGAGACUGACAUCCUGUUGUGCUCUCCUGCCACUGCCCUCAGUAAGUCACGAUGAGGAGUAAACUGCUGUCACCGAGAUGAAAGGCCCCCUUCCUCUGAUCUGUCCACUACAAAAUUACUUCAGUGCCAC